CCAGACUCCUACGGGAGGCAGCAGUGGGGGAUAUUGCACAAUGGGGGGAACCCUGAUGCAGCGACGCCGCGUGGGUGAAGAAGCGCCUCGGCGCGUAAAGCCCUAUCGGCAGGGAAGAAGGAGGACGGUACCUGACUAAGAAGCCCCGGCUAACUACGUGCCAGCAGCCGCGGUAAUACGUAGGGGGCAAGCGUUAUCCGGAUUUACUGGGUGUAAAGGGGGCGCAGACGGCAGCGCAAGCCAGGAGUGAAAGCCCGGGGCCCAACCCCGGGACUGCUCUUGGAACUGCGCGGCUGGAGUGCAGGAGGGGCAGGCGGAAUUCCUGGUGCAGCGGUGAAAUGCGUAGAUAUCAGGAGGAACACCGGUGGCGAAGGCGGCCUGCUGGACUGCGACUGACGUUGAGGCCCGAAAGCGUGGGGAGCAAACAGGAUUAGAUACCCGUGUA
rnacentral:rRNA from 1 species